UCAAGAUGAACACCUUAGAUGACGAGUCUGACGUACGGUGGAUUUGAGUUUCUCAUCUACAUCGUCUUCGUGACGAGACCUUUUUUUAAUACCAUUCAUGCCUAUCUGAUU
rnacentral:snoRNA from 1 species